rnacentral:rRNA from 1 species
GACGGAGGGUGCGAGCGUUGUUCGGAUUGACUGGGCGUAAAGGGCGUGUAGGCGGUCGGCCAAGUCUGGUGUGAAAGCCCGGGGCUCAGCUCCGGAAGUGCGCCGGAAACUAGCUGGCUGGAGCGCGGUAGAGGAGGGUGGAAUUCCUGGUGUAGCGGUGAAAUGCGUAGAUAUCAGGAGGAACACCGGCGGCGAAGGCGGCCCUCUGGACCGUUGCUGACGCUGAGACGCGAAAGCGUGGGGAGCAAACAGGAUUAGAUACCCUGGUAGUCCACGCUGUAAACGAUGGGUACUAGGUGUUUGGGGUAUUGACCCCCUGAGUGCCGCAGUUAACGCAUUAAGUACCCCGCCUGGGGACUACGGCCGCAAGGUUAAA